rnacentral:lncRNA from 1 species
UAUACGUAUAUAUAUUUUUUUUCUUUUUUUCUCAUUUCUUAUGCAGAAUACAAUUCGUUAAAUAUACUUAUGAAUGACACUCCAAAAGGGAACAAAGACGAUUUCUUUGACCUAAACCUAAUCGAAGAAAAAAAAGAUGAAAAGACUAUUAAUAUAACCCCUUUAAAAAUAUAUGACAAAAAUAACAUUGAAAUUAUGUUCCAAUUUGAUAAGGAAAGUUUAGAUUCGGAGAGUACUAAUAUAAAAGCUACUUAUUCGAACAAAUCGGACAAGCUUAUACCUUACUUUGUUUUUGAAGCUGUUGUUCCUAAUUAUGUCAAACUGAACAUAUUUAAAGCUUCGUCAACUGAAUUGUUACCCUUCGAAGAAAACAAAAUAACACAAAAUAUGCUAAUUGUUAACAAACUUUUUAAAAAAAAACCAGUCCUUAUGAAAGUUAGGAUAUCAUAUACAAAAGACAACGAAAAAAUACAAGAUUUUAUUAAUAUAGGGAAUUUUCCUGAUGUUUUAUAAUAUAUAUACACAUGUGUAAAUAUACAUAUGUGUAAAUAUACACAUGUGUAAAUAUACAUAUGUGUAAAUAUACAUAUGUGUAAAUAUACAUAUAUAUAUAUAUAUAACGAAGAAAAAAAAAAAAAAACUUUGUCCCUAUUCCCUUUCACAUUUUAUUUUUUAUAAAAAAUUAGAAAAAACAUUAACACAUAUGGACAUAUAACAUAUGGGUAUGUAUGUCACAUAUGAAUGUUGUUCCACAUACAUUCAUUCGUUCACUCAUCUAAUCAUACAAUUACCCAAUCGUUCAUUUUUUUUUUUUUUUUUUUUUUUUUUUUGGUAUUUUAUUACGCUUGUAUUUGUUACUUUAUUCGAUUAUUAUAUUAUGUUUGAUAAUUAUAUUCUGUUCGAUAAUUAUAUUUUGUUCGAUAAUUAUAUUAUGUUCGAUAAUUAUAUUCUGUUCGAUUAUUUUAUUAUGUUCGAUU